GUCUAUGAUCAUACUACCCUGAACAAGCCCAAUCCCAUCUGAUCUCGGAAGCUAAGCAGGGUCAGGUCUGGUUAGUACUUGGAUGGCAGACCGCCUACAAAGACCAGGUGUUGUAGGCU
rnacentral:rRNA from 1 species